GCCGCGGAGCACCGGGCGCUGCUGUCCUCCCGAGUGCUGGCAGAGCCUCUCUAAUUAACGCGAUCGACAGUUUUCGUAGGUGCCCGCCUGCUUUUCCCGUCGCGGUUAAUCCAUAGAGGAAGAGAUACCGGGCGCGGCUCGGGGAUCGCAAGCUUAAUCUCCGUCCCGUGUUCCUCUUCAUGAGCUGUGACACCGCUCGUUUUCAUGGAAAGCUUCUCUCUUUCCUUUGAAUUACUGGGAUUGCCCGCUGUAAGAUGCUCCACGUAAUCAAAUACAAGAGAGUGAAUGAUGGCAGAAAUCAUAUUCUGGCGUCGGUGCCCACAACAUACAAAGAAUGCUGCGUGUGAUGCCAGCGCAUGAAUGUUAGCUGCCAUUCAGUCAGCGUGUGCUGUGCUGGUCAGUGAAGCCCGUUCUCCAUUUCACAGAGUUAACGUUGGCUUUUAGGUUGGUGCCAAGAUGCAACAUUCUCUGCUCCUAGCAGUACGGAAGGAUGGCUUUUUCAGGCGCAUUAGCAGCAGUUUCUGCAGGAACUCUGCCAUGCUUUCAGCACUCGACUUCUGCUGCACACUUUAGGACUUCAUCCUAUGGGUAUGUAUGCAAUGUCAGUGUAUGCAAGUGAGCAGUCCCGUGAGAAGCUCCUUGUUUGCCAAGUUAUUGCCAUCAAGUGCCCUCUUUACCACACCGCUACAGAGCAAUAGAAAUAUUUGAUGCUUCUGCAAACGUAGUAGAGCUUGCUGUGCUCUGAUGUUACCAGUGACCGUGGGGAUUUGGCUGGGAGGAGAUAGAUAGCGAUGUCUGUAGGUUUCCUACUUCAAGGAAAUAAGCUCCUGCUCUAGCUCACCCAAUUCUUUUCUUCUCUCCUAGAAAGAAGUAAUUCAAGAUGUUGAGAGGCACCCAUCCUCCACAGGACGGGAAAGCAAGUUGGGGAGAACAGCUAGAGGCAGGUCAACCUGUGGAACGUGUCACAGCGCUGUUAGAACUCCUUAAAGGAAGAUUCUAUUGACCAUAAUGAAGUUUCCCAAUUUUCAGCCUCUAAUCCUGCAGUGGGAGUGUAUUUCCUUCAAUCCAGAUUGCAUGCAGACAACGGCUGACGCACACUGAGCAGAGCUGCAGCAUUAGCAUUCAGAUGUUCCAGACUGCAGAUUUCCCACAUGCUGUAUAAACAGUUUCUCACUCCAAAGCUGUAGAACUGCAUGCCCCCAGAAAAUAGAACUGAGAGAGCUUGCAAAACAGAGGAUCUUGGAGACAAAGCGCAAGACCAGCCAGAAGCUCAGCCAAGGACACCUGCAUACUGCCAUCAGCCAGCAGAUGGGCAUGAAGACGACGCAAGCAGAGAAAGACCCUAAAGAACGGCAAGGCCACAUCAGAUAAAGAGGAGACAGCGGAACCAAAAAAACAACUAACACCAGGAAGAUGUACAGUAAUGUCUGCCAUUCCCAUCGUUCUCCCAACGGCUUCUUCUGUAAGAAGAUGUGCAAGAAGACAAACCGAGCACAAAA